ACUAUGAACCUACUUGGUUCCUCUACGCGCAUAUGUCCGAAUGAUUCGAACCACUGGCGC
rnacentral:ncRNA from 1 species